GAAUUUGAGGAUGACGUCAAGUCAUCAUGCCCCUUAUGCCCUGGGCGACACACGUGCUACAAUGGCCGGGACAAAGGGUCGCGAUCCUGCGAGGGUGAGCUAACUCCAAAAACCCGUCCUCAGUUCGGAUUGCAGGCUGCAACUCGCCUGCAUGAAGCCGGAAUCGCUAGUAAUCGCCGGUCAGCCAUACGGCGGUGAAUUCGUUCCUGGGCCUUGUACACACCGCCCGUCACACUAUGGGAGCUGGCCAUGCCCGAAGUCGUUACCUUAACCGCAAGGAGGGGGAUGCCGAAGGCGGGGCUAGUGACUGGAGUGAAGUCGUAACAAGGUAGCCGUACUUCAACACUUUGGAGCUGAAUUCAGGCCAUGUAUUCAAAUUCUUAAAUGAAGGGCCAAGCAAAACUUGAUGCAGAUAAUUUGAUUCUAGAUUUUAAAUGAUCAUCUGCAGUAAUUUACAAUAAAAAAAAGUUCACGAGUUUUGAUAGGGGAAAAAAUGGAUCAUUUAGCCUACAAUUAAAAGGGCGCCCAGUUUUGGCCCAGUAAACAUCAACGACAAUCAGCUGAAUCUUCACUUCAGCCCAGGGUCAGCUCGUCUUCGGGACUCCGCCAAAAGCUCCACCAACUUCAGAUAUUUGUUGACUCUCCUGACCAAACUCGGGGUGCCUCCAGACAUUCGCUGACUCGCCCCGACCAAGCUCGGGGCGCUUACGUUAACAAUAUACCCUGACCCUCGAGCUCGGGGCGCUCUCCCGAGCACGUCUCGGAACUCGUAAAACCGAGCUACUCGCAACACCCGCCAAGCCGACCUCGUCAAAUACAUGAUGAGACUACUUAGCGAGCCCGGCUUCGCCAAUGACCACACCCAUGUGCGGGCCUACGCCCACCUACGUGGUCGUACUUCACAACACUACCGCGUCAUGUCUCCAUAACCGGCCUUCAGCAGUCAGAUGACACCUUGACUACUCCGGACAUACCCUGCCGUAACUGUCAACAACACCCUAUCGUUUUCAGGAACGGGCGGUACUGCACGCCACCAGCCAGCCUAAGCUGCACGCCAUCCGGCUCAGAGUCAUCUUCCCUUAUGAUGAGGGCUGACGGUGCCUCUGCCAUCUGAACCACUCCAUCGAGACUAUAAAUAGUUCGGACAGGUAACUUCUAAGGAACCUUUUUUUUGGCUGGACCAAAUUUACCCCACUCUAACUUGAUCGUCGGAGGGCUCUCACCGGAAACACCGAUGAGGCUUUGUACAGGUCCGCGACCGUCGCGCAGGAGGUAGCUCCCGUCUUCUUCUUCCAACCACUGGCGGCUCCUUCGACUCCACCGGCAUGGUCACCCUCGGGCCAAAUUUGAACCACAACAAGUUCUAUAACAAAAAAUAUAUAGUUUGAAAUUGGGGAUUGGUUUCAAGGAGAUAAAAAGGGGAAACAUUUAACCUUACAGAUUUACAUAAGAUAAAAAUAUUUUAUGUCUCAUUUUCUGGAAGAAAACAUAGGUUUACAGAAUAAUAGGUCCUAAUUGGUAUGAAACAUACAAGUUUUGGUGAUCACAUACGUAUCAAAAUGCUGUCAACAAAGAGCUAACCCAUAUAGGACAAGCGACAAAAAUGUCGGUAAGAUAGAAAAACCAGUAUGAACAUAAUAAUCCAUGUAUAGAGGACUACAACUCCACAACAUGAGCAUUUGUCCAUCAACGUAGUAGUCUCUAAUAAGCCAAAAGUUUGUCCUUUGCCAAGUCCAAAUAUUCAAUCAAAAAAAAGAUGGCAUGAGACGCAAUCCAUCAACUUGAAGCUCAUGGUGGAAGCCUUCAGGCACCAUAUUUGAUAUUUCAUCUCAGUGAUAUACAUAUCAAGCCAUGUGCAUCACACAAUUGAUGCUAUUAGUGGAAUUGCAUCAUUUCCACCGAGAAUAUCUCCAAGGAGGCGCCAAAAGUCCCUUUCACCUUCUUUGAUUCAGCCUCGUGAACUUCUAGAACCGAUGAAAUUUUCCCACUUUUAGAAAAUUAAAUUCACCACCCACUUUUGACGAAACGCAAUCCGGAGCGUGUCCAACGCAGCCUUCCGUCCCCCCCGCCGAACGAACGGUCAAAAUUCCGGUCGGAAAAAAAAUCUUUUAGGCUCUGGAUAGAUUACUCCGUCAAACA
rnacentral:lncRNA from 1 species